GUUUCCGUGGUGUAAAAAUCGCACGUUAGAUUUUCAUUCUAGAAGUAUAAAAUAAUUUAUCGGAAAUA
rnacentral:tRNA from 1 species